rnacentral:rRNA from 1 species
UAAUACCGCAUAUUCUGUGAGCAGGAAAGCAGGGGACCGCAAGGCCUUGCGCUCUUUGAGCGGCCGAUGUCAGAUUAGCUAGUUGGUGAGGUAAAGGCUUACCAAGGCGACGAUCUGUAGCGGGUCUGAGAGGAUGAUCCGCCACACUGGAACUGAGACACGGUCCAGACUCCUACGGGAGGCAGCAGUGGGGAAUUUUGGACAAUGGGGGCAACCCUGAUCCAGCCAUGCCGCGGGAGUGAAGAAGGCCUUCGGGUUGUAAAGCUCUUUCGGCCGGGAAGAAAUCGCAUGGGCCAAUACCCUGUGUGGAUGACGGUACCGGAAUAAGAAGCACCGGCUAACUACGUGCCAGCAGCCGCGGUAAUACGUAGGGUGCGAGCGUUAAUCGGAAUUACUGGGCGUAAAGCGUGCGCAGGCGGUUUUGUAAGACAGGCGUGAAAUCCCCGGGCUUAACCUGGGAACUGCGUUUGUGACUGCAAGGCUAGAGUACGGCAGAGGGGGGUGGAAUUCCACGUGUAGCAGUGAAAUGCGUAGAGAUGUGGAGGAACACCAAUGGCGAAGGCAGCCCCCUGGGUCGAUACUGACGCUCAUGCACGAAAGCGUGGGUAGCAAACAGGAUUAGAUACCCUGGUAGUCCACGCCCUAAACUAUGUCAACUAGGUGUUGGGUGGGUAAAACCAUUUAGUACCGUAGCUAACGCGUGAAGUUGACCGCCUGGGGAGUACGGCCGCAAGGUUAAAACUCAAAGGAAUUGACGGGAACCCGCACAAGCGGUGGAUGAUGUGGAUUAAUUCGAUGCAACGCGAAAAACCUUACCUACCCUUGACAUGCCAGGAACUUGCCAGAGAUGGCUUGGUGCCCGAAAGGGAGCCUGGACACAGGUGCUGCAUGGCUGUCGUCAGCUCGUGUCGUGAGAUGUUGGGUUAAGUCCCGCAACGAGCGCAACCCUUGUCGUUAAUUGCCAUCAUUUAGUUGGGCACUUUAACGAGACUGCCGGUGACAAACCGGAGGAAGGUGGGGAUGACGUCAAGUCCUCAUGGCCCUUAUGGGUAGGGCUUCACACGUCAUACAAUGGUCGGUACAAAGGGUUGCCAAGCCGCGAGGCGGAGCCAAUCCCAGAAAGCCGAUCGUAGUCCGGAUUGCAGGCUGCAACUCGCCUGCAUGAAGUCGGAAUCGCUAGUAAUCGUGGAUCAGCAUGUCACGGUGAAUACGUUCCCGGGUCUUGUACACACCGCCCGUCACACCAUGGGAGCGGGUUCCGCCAGAAGUAGGUAGCCUAACCGCAAGGGGGGCGCUUACCACGGCGGGGUUCGUGACUGGGGUGAAGUCGUAACAAGGUA